rnacentral:lncRNA from 1 species
CUGUGGCAUAGCUGAAAGAUGGCUAUAGUAAAGCUGGAGAGUAAUUGAUUUAUAGUAUGUGAUUCUGGACGACAUCGGUUCUGAACCGAUGUCACGGAUGGCAAAUCGGUAAAAAAUUGAGCUGAUCACAAUGCUCUAUUAAGGACCAAUUCAAAUGAGUUUAGAUUGGCAUGUAAUUGGGUAGAGGGCUAAACCAGAUCAGUAUUUCACCGAUCUGAUCCAGAAGUCGACUUGAUCAAUAUAACUCUUCAUGGCAUCCUUUUUGAUGCUACCACGUGGUCAGAAGCCGAUUAGAUGCACCAACAUAAGACAAUGGAGGAAGCAAUACAAAAACAGAGCAACAAAAACAGACUUCAUACCCCACGCUCAUAUAGCCAACGGAAAUGCAUGAAAGAAAUAGAAGAGCCUACUUAUGAUCUCAUAAAUGCAGAUCUCCUGA